CCUACGGGAGGCAGCAGUGGGGGAUAUUGGACAAUGGGGGGAACCCUGAUCCAGCGACGCCGCGUGAGUGAAGAAGUAUUUCGGUAUGUAAAGCUCUAUCAGCAGGGAAGAAGAAAUGACGGUACCUGAGUAAGAAGCCCCGGCUAACUACGUGCCAGCAGCCGCGGUAAU
rnacentral:rRNA from 1 species